GACGAACGCUGGCGGCGUGCUUAACACAUGCAAGUCGAACGAUGAACCCGGAGCUUGCUCCGGUGGAUUAGUGGCGAACGGGUGAGUAACACGUGAGUAACCUGCCCUUGACUCUGGGAUAACUGCGGGAAACUGUAGCUAAUACCGGAUACGACCCUCGGCGGCAUCGCCAGGGGGUGGAAAGAAUUUCGGUCAAGGAUGGACUCGCGGCCUAUCAGCUAGUUGGUGAGGUAACGGCUCACCAAGGCGACGACGGGUAGCCGGCCUGAGAGGCUGACCGCCCACACGGAGACUGAGACACGGCCCAGGCCCCCACGGGAGGCAGCAGUGGGGAAUAUUGCACAAUGGGCGCAAGCCUGAUGCGGCAACGCGGCGUGAGGGAUGACGGCCUUGGGGUUGUAAACCUCUUUUAGUAGGGAAGAAGCGAAAGUGACGGUACCUGCAGAAAAAGCACCGGCUAACUACGUGCCAGCCGCCGCGGUAA
rnacentral:rRNA from 1 species